GGACAGGCUCCCCAGGGCAGUGGUCACGGCACUGAGCCUGCCAGAGUUCAAGAAGCACUUGGACAAGGCUAUCAGCCAUCUAGGGUUUGAUUUUUGCAUGGUCCUGUGUGGAGCCAAGAGUUGGACUCAGUGAUCCUUGCGGGUCCCUUCCAGGUCAGGAUAUUUGAUAAUUCUGUGAUUCAGGGCUGGGAUGUAGUGAGGCUUUUCCAGCCAGAUAGGCAACAGGCAGGCUGUGUGCAGGAGAGAGGGCAGGAGGAGAAACUAAGCCUAGAACAGGAGCUUAAGAAGGUUAAAAAUUGCCCAAACAGAUCCAUUUGUGUGUGAGGGCAUGAGGGACUGAGCCAGAAAGAAGGUGUGGACUGUCCUGAAGAGAAAAUAGACCUUGUUGGGAUGUCACAGCGCAUAGAGCAGUCAGCCAGCAAAGGCUGACAACUGUACCCCAUCUAACAUGCAAGACCCAGUGGGAUGCCAUUUCCUUUGCUAUGAAGCAUGCCCUUAACAGCAGACUAUGCCAGUAAAAGGCAAAAGGCACUGAAGCUCUUCUUUGAACAGGAAGAACGUCUGGCAUCUGUAUGGCUGUGCUGCACGGGAGAGUCUACGGUGAAAAUAUCUUGUCAGUGCUGGCUUCAUCCCAUUCUAAACCGAACACCUUCAGAAGGCAACCUCUCUCCCCUGAAACUCCUCCUCGACUUUGAAGGAGCUUAGAAACCUAGUGCUACCAAAUGUGCAGUGGGCUAUGAUUGUGAGCAAGUUGCUGUACAGUUUUCACAUUCCCUUGAGUCUUCUGUUGGCAUCAGCGAAACAGAAUCAGUGGAAGGUCCCCAGAUACAUUUUGCAAGCAGUCUGAGAUGGGAUUCAGCCUCAGGUUUGUCAGCAGGGAGGGCUGCUGUGCUCGAUCGCUCUGCCUGGGAACCUCCAACAGCCAGCAAAUAACCCUCAAAGUAACCCCCAGUGCCAGCUCUGGCAGUGUGGGAUCCUCAUGACUGCAACGUGAGGUUUCAGGUCACUUCUUAUUUACAUAUUGGGUUGUGGAUUUCUUUUAUUAUAUAUAUAUUUUUUUAACCAGGUUUCUUGGUACCUCCUGCUGGUUAAACAGAGAGGAUUGUUAUUGCCAUUGGGAGGGAAGGAAACCUGUCUGUUUGCACUGCUGGGUUAGAAAGACUUCUAAAAGCAGCUGCUGUCCAGUCAGCUGAAAUGACAAAGAAAAUCCCUAUGGCUACAAAAACUGGAGUCAUUAAUGCUGUGGAUUAUUUUUAAUAUAAAGCUCUAAUUAAGAAUUAUGUUGUCAGUUAAUCUCUAUUCAUUUCGUUAUUAUGUUUCUUUUUUUUUUUUUAUAAGGCAGUCCAUCUCCCAGCAGCUCCAGAGAAAGGGUAGGUCCAGGCUAUGCAAAAUGAAUUCCUCUGGGUUUCCUAGUUUGUUUACAAGAGUUUUUGUUCAUCCGAAGUAACGAAAAGCCAGCUAAGUCUCUUACUGUCCUAACUGUCUCAUACUGUCAUAAGUCUCUUAGUGUCAUAGCACUUAGCAAUCUGUGAGCUGGAAAUAAAAUAUUAGACCACGUAAACAAAACUUCUGCUUCCAGAGCAGCGUUGUUUUCAGAUCAGUAAUCCCACUUGUAUGUGUAUCCUCCCUCCUUUGCUGUUUUUCCUUAGCCCUUUAAGAAGGAUUUUUCCACUUUUUCUUCUAAGAAAAUUCAGUUUUAUUUAACAUUUUGUACUUGAAAGCCAGAAGAGUCCUCUUGGUUUUUGGCACCCCAAAAUAAAAAUCAGGCAUACUGCUUUCUGGCUCGGUAGGAACCUCUUCAAGGGGCAGUAAUGCUUUUCCUGAAGUGCCGAUGGUGCUUCACAGUUGGUACCUCCAGCUAACAUGGGAACUUGUAGUGUUGCCAGACAACUAUAGUCCUGGGGCUUGGGUCCUCUCUACAUCUGCUGUCAUCAUCAGUACCAGGAACUUGCACGCUAUCCAAAAGGAAACUUGAAAAGCACAAGACUCAGAGGUAAUAAUUUCCAAAUAAAGUUGACGAUGAGGGGAAUGUCACCUUUUAUGUGAGUGGAAGGUUUCAGGAAGGAAAUCCCAUUGACGGUGAGAGCUGAAAGCAAAUACUAUAAGUAGCUUACAAAAUCCUUCAAGAGAUACUACUAGGGAGGGAACCAGAAAUUACUAAAAUCAGUUUUGCCCUGUGUAGAUGGACGUGAAAUGGAGAAGGGUAAACACAGUGAUCAUUACUGGUUGAAAGAGAGUCUGGUCUGGCUUCAUCAAACACCUUGGUCAACUACAUGGUCUUCUCACUGCCAGCUGACUGGAGGAACGGUGUUUCCACGUACACCUUAUCUGGUUUCACUGGAGCAGAGUUGCUGAGCAACCAGUCAGACCAAGAGCAUGCACUAGAAUAAAUGCCACCUCUCUGCACAAGGCAUUGACCUUCAUCACAUCACGAUCAAGCAUGCUUCCUUCUACUGUAAACACCAGUUGACACUCGCCCGUCGGGGAACAAGACGGGGAAUUCCACCAGGAUGCCAGGGAAGAAAGAGCUGCAAGCACUGGUUGCCCAGAGGGACCGAGAAGUCUCCGUCCUUGGGCACGUGGACAACUUGGCACCAGGCUGAGCAGGGGGCUGGAGCGGGUGCUCUCCAGAGAUCCCUUUUUUCUACCAUCAGUAAGCAACCAUGUACCGGCUCAGUAAAGAGGUUGGGACAUUUCUAUGUGCUUUCAACUUCCCAAUAAUUUUGUCUCUGCUGCUGUAGCUAACAUGUAAAAAAAAUGAUAAUAACAUGGCGGUGAGGUGUGAAGAUGUGGAUGGCUUGCAUACACAUAAACACACAUGCACAGACGCACACAAGCAUUGGCGCUAGCUGCUCUGUGGGAAAGCAGUCCAGCAGCUAAAUGCGAGGAUGGAGGGAGGGGUGCUUGGGGUUGAAGAAACCCUUAGAAAAAGAACGACUUCUUCUUGGCAGAUUUUGCUUCCAAGGUGCUUGUAUUGAGGCCCUGUAGCAAACUGGGCAAGAGCUCUGAAUUGAUGGAAGGUAAUAUAACCACCAAGAGCUGGUUGCACAACUCAGUUACACUCUCACCCCUUUCUGUCUGCACCUCCUUUCCAAGAAGUGCCAGAGGGAAGAAAUAACUUCUCUCUCCUGAAUGGGGGAAACUCUAUAGUCUUUUACUCUGGUACUUUCAGAAGUCCAGUAAAAUAAAUCAUCUGACAUUUAUCCUGGACCUCAAAAAUGUUUAAAGUUUUACCUGUUUAGGAUAACUAUGCUAGAGGCAUGGUUUCCAUCCCAGGGGAAAGACGUGCAAACCUUGACCUCAGGUGUACUUGCUUCCAGCUAUGAGAAAAAUUCAGGUUCAUUGAAUAGUUCCAGGAAAGUAAUCCUUGAUAAUUCUCAGAAAUCGGUCUUUCAGAUAAAUAAAUAAAUAAAUAAAUAAAUAAAAAACUCUGUUCUCACAAAUUUUAUCAUGCUGGUCCCUAUUUUACACUGCUUUCUUGCCUGUAAGUGAAAUCACUGGGGCAUCAGGAGCUCCAUCUCAUGUGCUCUGGGUUUCAGACAGCAAGAAGAAACCACCCUUUCCCUCCACUCCUGUAGCAACAUCCUCCCUGACCUAAACCCAGGAGAACUAGGCCCAGUAUUUCCGCAUAACAGUAAGAUCAGUACCAAAUCCUGAAACACUGUAAAUGCUUUAGCCCAACUGUGCAUCUAAAGAUUUCAUUACCCUUUUUAUGUCUGCUUUGCAGCGGGAGUUUCUGCUCAGCUCUUGUGUCCCUCUUUUCUGAGUCCUUUCCAGAGCCCGUGCUUCGAAGUCCAGUUUCCCAUCUUAUUCCUGUGGCCUUCAUUCUCUAUUCCUAGAUUUAGAGCUUCAUGUUUACCUGUAAUAAAGUAUUACCUUACAUGCUUGCUUUCUGUUUACCAUCUGAUUACAUCAGUGACCUAUUUUCAUUUUAGUUCCUUUGGUCUUUGUGUCUGUGGCAAUAUUAUAAUUUUAUAUUUUCUUUGCUAUCACAGAUCAAAAUGGAUGAUGGCCAGGAAACAACUCCUGUGAAGCUCCCCUAGUUAACACCCCUCUGAACAAUGGUUCCUUGUUUAGCAUUGAGACUAAACAGUGGGUUAACCAGUUUCUGAACCAUCCAGUAUGUUAAUCUGCCACAACUUAUCGAUCAAAGAAUUGUGCAAAAUGAAAGCCUCAUGCUCUAUACUUGAUUAUUGCAUGAACAAGACUGCCUUUAUGAAUUAAGCUUUUACUCUUCUCCAAAAGACAACAGGUUAGCUCAGGAAAAUCUACUUUCUGAAAAUCCAUGUGAGUUGGCUUCUACUUCCUUUUAUUUUGGUAUUUAUUAACACAGACAUUUUGGCCAGCAUUUUUGUCAGGUUUUGGACAUCCAUUGGGCCAAUAGCCAGAAUAAUAACAAGCCUGAUGGAAGUGCAUAGCCUGAAACGGCCUGGGUUCUUCUGUAAAUGUUUUAAAAUAUUAUUCCACCAUAACCUUCUUGCUCAGCCUCUGGAGAUCCCCUGGACUUCCAGUUCUUCUAAAAGUGAGUUUUAGUGACUCAGAGUGAUCUUCUGUCAGCUCUUUGAAACUUUGGGGAUGCUAGUGCUAUACAUUUUCCAAUUUUAGGAUGCCUGAUAGCAGCAGCUGUUGUUUAGAGCCUUCUGAGGCACCUACUCUUUCAUCAGCAGUGGUGACACCACUUGCUUUUUUCCUCAAAUGCAGAACAGAGGUACUUAUUGAAAUUCCUAAAAUAAGUCCAUUGCCAGCCUUUGUCCAUCUUCAAGGUUUAUGCCAUGUUUAUAGAUGCAAAAAUCCCAUGCAAAAAUGAGAUCAUAACAAUCUCCUUGAAGUAUCUCCUACCUAAGAGUUAUAGUUGUGUUUGCAGAUUGAAGCUUCUCACCUGUCUGCAUCGCUGUUGAUGUUUCUACCAUUUCCAUAAAGCAACUAAUACAGUAUUAAAGUCACUUCUGUUCCAAUAGUUUUAGAACUGCACUCCUCUUAAACUGUUGUUUUCUGUACUUCUGCUGUUCUUUAUCUCUGCAGUGCCCUUCUGCUUCCUUCAGCAACUUUCUGUGGGUCUAAAGGUUAACCUUCUAGUCGCUGUCAUCCAGCCAACCCUUCUUCUAUACAUUAUAUGUAAUCCUCUAAUUUCCACAGAAUCUUUUAUUUAUUCUCCAAGGAGAGUUUGAUGUUUGAUCGAUACAUCCUUAGUGUUGGAGAUAUAUUAAAAUGCUCUUAAUUAUGUGGUAUCAGCCACAUUUUGUCAUGUAUAGUCUUGCAACUAAGUUUGAAGUUUUCUGCUAUGUAAAAUUAACCUUUAGAGAACGAAGUACAUGUGUGUGGGCAGGCUUGUCUGACAGCAGUUCUUCAUUUCUUCCUGAGGUUCCUGCGUCUGCUAAAGUAUUCUUUACUCAGAAACAACCCCUAUAUGUCAAAAUGUUAUUUUUAAUAGCCAUCACCAAAUGAGUUGCUGAGCUCAGGUGCCUUACAGUGGUUCUCAAAUAAACGGUGCUGCACAAAACCAAAGUUUUUAUGAGACUUUAUGGCUAAAAUGGUUUCUCUCAUUCUCCUUUAUUUCUCAGACCUGAGAUUCACCCAGAGGCAAACUUCCACAUUUUAGAUAUAAAAAAUGAACCUUUUGCGUUAAUGGCUAAAUACGGGGAGAGUGGUAGAAGGCGAUCAAUUAAUCUUGGUGGAUUAAGAGGCAUAUGGCACACUGCUAUUCCUCAGCCAGUACACAUGGGCAUAGAGUGAGACUUCAUGAGGCCCUGCUGCCUCCAUAGCUCUCCUGAGAGAGGUUCCAGUUGCAGAGAUCUGCAAAGCAAUGAAACCGGAGCUCUGAGCUUCCACCAAGCACAACUCCCUGGACUUGUCAUUGAGCACCAGCACUGCAUUUAGUACAGCAGGGCUGCUGUCCAUUUUUGCCCACCUCUCUUCACCCAUGACUCUCGGAGGGGGAUGCUGCCAGCCGAUCCCCGGCAGUGGGAAUGUGGAGAGGCCCUGGAAGGUGCCAGGAGGGUGGCUGACUGUUCUCAGCAGGCUCUCUCCGGGGACUCCCAGGAUGGGGGUGAUUGGAGGUUCAUGCUCAUAAGCAAGCAGUGCUCCCGCGAAAGCUUUCCAGUCCAUUUAAGUGAAUUAUUAAUAUUAUUAUUAUUUUUUAAAUAUAUAAUGGCAGUAGAGUAGAGUGGAGUAGAGUAGAACAGAACAGAACAGAAUAGAAUAGAAUAACUCAGUUGGAAGGGACCUUCAAAGAUCAUCGAGUCCAACUGCCUGACUUCUUCAGGGCUAUCCAAAAGUUAAGCGUAUUACUGAGGGCAUUAUUCAAAUACCUCUUGAACACUGACAGGCAUGGGGCAUCAGACACCUCUCUGGGAAGCCUGUUCCAGUGUUUGACCACCCUCACGGUAAAGAAAUGUUUCUUGAUGUCCAGUCUGAACCUCCUCUGGCAUAGCUUUAUGCCAUUCCCAUGUGUCCUGUCAUUGGUGACCAGGGAGCAGAGACCAGCACCUUCUUCUGCAUGUCCCCUCCUCAGGAAAUUGCAGAGAGCCACAAGGUCACCCCUCGGCCUCCUUUUCCGCAGACUUCACAACCCAAGUGUCCUCAGCCUCUCCUCACAGGACAUGCCUUCCAGCCCUUUUAGCAGCUUUGUUGCCCUCCUCUGGACCCUUCCAAGGACCUUAACAUCUUUUUUAUAUUGCGGAGCCCAGAACUGCACACAAUACUCAUGGUGAGGCCUCACCAAUGCUAAAUAUAGUGGGAAAAUUGCCUCUUUUGAGUGUUUAUAAUGCUCCCCAAGAUGCCAUUUGUUCUCCUGGCUGCCAGGGCACGCUGCUGGCUCAUGCUGAGCCGCUGCCACCAGCACCCCCAGGUGCUUUCUGCAGAGCCGCUCUCCAGCCGCUUGUCUCCCGCUCUGUGCCUGCGUCGGGCAUUACCCUGCCCCAGGUGCAGCGCCCGGCAUUUUCCUUUGUGAGCUUUAUUCCUGUUUAUCUCACAGCUGGACAGUUCCUCCAGAAGGAUGCUGAGAGGGAAAGUCCAGAAGGAUUACACCCUGCCUUCCCUUCACCCACCAAGCGGGUGAACGUAUGGAAGGACCCGUCCCCGUCCCGGUCCCU